rnacentral:rRNA from 1 species
GAUGAACGCUGGCGGCGUGCCUAAUACAUGCAAGUCGAGCGAACAGACGAGGAGCUUGCUCCUCUGACGUUAGCGGCGGACGGGUGAGUAACACGUGGAUAACCUACCUAUAAGACUGGGAUAACUUCGGGAAACCGGAGCUAAUACCGGAUAAUAUAUUGAACCGCAUGGUUCAAUAGUGAAAGACGGUUUUGCUGUCACUUAUAGAUGGAUCCGCGUCGCAUUAGCUAGUUGGUAAGGUAACGGCUUACCAAGGCAACGAUGCGUAGCCGACCUGAGAGGAUGAUCGGCCACACUGGAACUGAGACACGGUCCAGACUCCUACGGGAGGCAGCAGUAGGGAAUCUUCCGCAAUGGGCGAAAGCUUGACGGAGCAACGCCGCGUGAGUGAUGAAGGUCUUCGGAUCGUAAAACUCUGUUAUUAGGGAAGAACAAAUGUGUAAGUAACUAUGCACGUCUUGACGGUACCUAAUCAGAAAGCCACGGCUAACUACGUG